UACGUAGGGGGCAAGCGUUGUCCGGAAUCAUUGGGCGUAAAGAGCGUGUAGGCGGCCAGAAAAGUCCGCUGUGAAAACUCGAGGCUCAACUUCGAGCUGUCGGUGGAAACUUUCUGGCUAGAGUCCGGAAGAGGAGAAUGGAAUUCCUGGUGUAGCGGUGAAAUGCGCAGAUAUCAGGAAGAACACCCGUGGCGAAGGCGGUUCUCUGGGGCGGUACUGACGCUGAGACGCGAAAGCGUGGGGAGCGAACAGG
rnacentral:rRNA from 1 species